UGCCCGUAGGAGCAGGGAGAGGCGUGGGGAUCUGGCCUCAGCCACAUUCGAUCUUGCCCAGACCCACCCACCGGCUUGCACCGCCUCUUCCAUCCUCAGCCCCUACCCAGGUCCCACUUUCACUGCACAGCCUUUGACCUGCUGCAUCUCGGAGUCCAGAAGGUUCCAAGGACGUAGCUGUGGCUGCUCUAAAGCCCACAGGAGGCAGGUGCUCUGAGUGUUCGGAGACCCAUCCUGACUCUGUUUUCUCGCCCGCGAGUUGGGGUGACUGAUACCCAUUCCCACUUACGCAGACAUUUGCCCUGAGGGUGAAAUGAGAGUACCUGUUGAGAGCGCUUUGACGGGAGUCGCCCCUGCCGUGUUGUCAGGUGAGGCAAGUGAGGCACAGAGAACUUGCUAAAGGUGAGUGAUUCCAGAGCUGAGAGCCACAAUGGCGGAUGGCCUUCCCAAGGAUUUGGAAUCGGAGCGUACAAAUGGAAUCCAUAAGUAGGGGGAAGCAGCCGGAAGGAGCUGGCCCUGUGUCCUCGGCUAACAAGAAAGCGUCUCUGCAGCCAGCUCAGACCCGGGUCCUUAAGCUCCCACCAAAGACUCCAGGCCGGUGAGAGGGGUUGGUGAUCAUUCUAGGGGCUCCCCCAGCAAAUUCUCCCCACGUUAUGGGUGCGGGUGCCGGGGCCCAAGUGCAACUCACAUUUUAACAAUCAGAAUUGCAACUCACGUGUCGGCUCCUUCCAGCCCUUCCUCUCCUCUCCAUCUGGUCAACUCCUACCCUACCUUCAAAAUGGCUCAAGCCUUCCUCCUCCAGGAAGUCCCGAACUCCACUCAGAUUCCUCCCUGAGCCCCACGAGCCUGGGCUUCUGGGCGUUGCAGUCACCACUGGUUAUGGUCUUCAAGGAUGACCUCGUACACCCACCUCUCACUCUUGGAAGAGAGUGACAAGACUUACUCUCCUGCACCCUUGUUCUCAGGCGCACGGGAAAGCCAACGAACGCGGGCUACACAAAUGGGCUGUUUGCAUUACAUGCGUAUUGAUUUGUGGACAGCCGAUGAAUUCUGAGGAUGAGAUACAUGCGCAGCAUUUGAGACUCAAAAAGUAGAGAAGGACCUGGCCUGCUUUGCAGGGCCCCGGCUCCUCCCCGGGGCAGCCCGUGGCGGGUGCAAGCCUCCAGGCUCGAACCUCCAAGCAGAUCUGUGGGUGCAUUUCCCCCUUUCUUAACAAAACAGCAGCAUUCGCUCCAUGUUACUCCCCCUUCACCGGCUUCCCUUCACCGCCUUUCUUGGAGCCUGGUCUCAUCACUGCCGGGUGAAACAUCUCUGGCAGGCCCGGCACGGAGGCUCAGACUCAGUGGAGAAGGAGGAUAUAGAAGCUUAUUAGUCUAAGCAGGAUGAAAUGUGUAAAUUAAUUACCUCGGCCACCCGUGCAUGUAGUGGCCCGCCCUGCACUCGGGGAAGACAAGAAUUAGCCUCCAUUCUUACAGUUUGGCAACCCUGCCAGACGUGACUGGGAGGGCCCCUGGCCGCCUGCCCGACACGGG